rnacentral:rRNA from 1 species
GAUGAACGCUGACAGAAUGCUUAACACAUGCAAGUCUACUUGAUUCUACUUCGGUAGUUGAUGGUGGCGGACGGGUGAGUAACGCGUAAAGAAUCUGCCCUUUAGUUUGGGAUAACCUUUGGAAACGGAGGCUAAUACCGGAUAUUAUGGAGACGUCGCAUGACGACUUCAUGAAAGCUAUAUGCGCUAGAGGAGGACUUUGCGUCCCAUUAGUUAGUUGGUGAGGUAAUGGCUCACCAAGACCGCGAUGGGUAGCCGGCAUGAGAGGGUGAUCGGCCACAAGGGAACUGAGACACGGUCCUUACUCCUACGGGAGGCAGCAGUGGGGAAUAUUGGACAAUGGGCCACAAGCCUGAUCCAGCAAUUCUGUGUGCACGAUGAAGGUCUUCGGAUUGUAAAGUGCUUUCAGUAGGGAAGAAAAAAAUGACGGUACCUACAGAAGAAGCGACGGCUAAAUAUGUGCCAGCCGCCGCUGUAA